rnacentral:tRNA from 1 species
CGCGGGGUGGAGCAGCCCGGUAGCUCGUCAGGCUCAUAACCUGAAGGUCACAGGUUCAAAUCCUGUUCCCGCAACCA